rnacentral:lncRNA from 1 species
AGUUAAUGAGACCAUUAUGACCUUGGGUUAAUUGGUUGGGUAGCUUAUUUUCUUGAGCUUCUUUAAUGGAUCCAAGCUUAUCUUCCUCAUUAAUUCAAGCUUGGGUGAAGAGUUGGAGAGCUUGUUGUAAUCUUUUAGUCUGGCUCCUUUGAUGGACCCACUUAGCAUGAUGAUAUCUCUUCUAAGUGGUCUAAAGUGAUCUAUGCUCACAUUACCCUAAGUGUACAGUGGUCCUAUCUAGAGGAAGAACAUAGGUUUACGUGUCGUGAUGGGUU